GACGAACGCUGGCGGCGCGCCUAACACAUGCAAGUCGAACGGAGUCAAGAGGAGCUUGCUUUUCUUGACUUAGUGGCGAACGGGUGAGUAACGCGUGAGUAACCUGCCCUGGAGUGGGGGACAACAGUUGGAAACUACUGCUAAUACCGCAUAAGCCCACGGAUCCGCAUGGAUCUGCGGGAAAAGGAUUUAUUCGCUUCAGGAUGGACUCGCGUCCAAUUAGCUAGUUGGUGAGGUAACGGCCCACCAAGGCGACGAUUGGUAGCCGGACUGAGAGGUUGAACGGCCACAUUGGGACUGAGACACGGCCCAGACUCCUACGGGAGGCAGCAGUGGGGGAUAUUGCACAAUGGGGGAAACCCUGAUGCAGCGACGCCGCGUGGAGGAAGAAGGUUUUCGGAUUGUAAACUCCUGUCGUUAGGGACGAUAAUGACGGUACCUAACAAGAAAGCACCGGCUAACUACGUG
rnacentral:rRNA from 1 species